rnacentral:rRNA from 1 species
GAGUUUGAUCCUGGCUCAGAGCGAACGCUGGCGGCAAGCUUAACACACGCAAGUCGAACGCUGUAGCAAUACAGAGUGGCGGACGGGUGCGUAACACGUGGGAAUCUGCCUUUAGGUUAGGAAUAACUCAGGGAAACUUGAGCUAAUACCUUAUAAUAUCUCCGGAUCAAAGAUUUAUCGCCUAAAGAUGAGCCCGCGGCAGAUUAGCUAGUUGGUGGGGUAAUGGCCUACCAAGGCUACGAUCUGUAGCUGGUCUUAGAGGAUGAUCAGCCACACUGGGACUGAGACACGGCCCAGACUCCUACGGGAGGCAGCAGUGGGGAAUAUUGGACAAUGGGCGAAAGCCUGAUCCAGCUAUGCCGCGUGAGUGAUGAAGGCCUUAGGGUUGUAAAGCUCUUUUAAGUGGGAAGAUUAUGACGGUACCACUAGAAAAAGCCCCGGCUAACUUCGUGCCAGCAGCUGCGGUGAUACGUAGGGGGCAAGCGUUGUCCGGAAUCAUUGGGCGUAAAGAGCGUGUAGGCGGCUUGGUAAGUCGGCUGUGAAAGUCGGGGGCUCAACCCUCGAAUGCCGGCCGAUACUGUCAAGCUAGAGUCCGGAAGAGGCGAGUGGAAUUCCUGGUGUAG